UGUGAAAUUAAUUAUAAAGUCUAGCCUGCCCACUGAUUUUUUAAAGGGCCGCGGUAAUUUGACCGUGCGAAGGUAGCAUAGUCAGUAGUCUUUUAAUUGGAGGCUUGAAUGAAUGGUUGGACGAGGGAAAAGCUGUCUCUUUUAUGUAACUUGAACUUAACUUUUGAGUGAAAAGGCUCAUAUUAUGUAGUGGGACGAUAAGACCCUAUAAAACUUGACAUAAUCCAAAUAUGACUUGAGAUUUGAGUGAAGAUCGGUCCCGUUUGGCUUGCGUUUCGUUGGGGAGAUGAAGAUAUAAAAAUGUAACUGUCUGUUUGAAUUAAAUAGUGUUCAGUAGUUUGUGAUCCUUCUUUGUGGAUUAAAAGAAUAAGUUACUUUAGGGAUAACAGCGUGAUUUUCUUUGAGAGUUCUUAUCGACAAGAGUAGUUGCGACCUCGAUGUUGAAUUAAAAUUUCAGUUAGGUGUAGCCGCUUAGCUAGUGGGUCUGUUCGACCUUUAAAAUUUUACAUGAUUUGAGUUCAAACCGGU
rnacentral:rRNA from 1 species